AUUGAACGCUGGCGGCAUGCCUUACACAUGCAAGUCGAACGGUAACAGGUCUCCUGUUGCUGGUGCGUGGCUGACGGGUGGGUAAUACAUCGGAACGUGCCCGACCCUUGGGGAUAACGUGGCUUAAGCUUUCUUAAUACCACAUCCGAUCUACGGAUGAAAUCGGGGGAUCUUCUUACCUCGCUCCGGCGGUGCGGGCUAUGGCCGAUUAGUUAGUUGGUGGGAUAAAAGCUUACCAAGCCGACGAUCUGUAGCGGGUCUUAGAGAAUGAUCGGCCACACUGGGACUGAGACACGGCCCAGACUCCUACGGGAGGCAGCAGAGGGGAAUGUUGGACAAUGGGCGAAAGCCUGAUCCAGCCAUGCCGCGUGCAGGAUGAAGGCCUUGGGGUUGGAAACUGCUUUUGUACGGAAUGAAAAGCCUCUUCCUAAUAAAGAGGGGUAAUGACGGUACCGGAAGAAGAAGCACCGGCUAACUACGUG
rnacentral:rRNA from 1 species